AAGGAUCAUUACAGAGAAAUUCGCCCUCACGGGUGAAACUCCAACCCUAUGUUAUUUAUACCUUUGUUGCUUUGGCGAGCCGCUUCGGCCACCGGCUUUUUGCUGGUGAGUGCCCGCCAGAGGACCUCAAACUCUUGAAAUUAUUAUUGUCUGAGUACUAUAUAAUAGUUAAAACUUUCAACAACGGAUCUCUUGGUUCUG
rnacentral:misc_RNA from 1 species